rnacentral:rRNA from 1 species
AUUGAACGCUGGCGGCAUGCCUUACACAUGCAAGUCGAACGGCAGCACGGGAGCAAUCCUGGUGGCGAGUGGCGAACGGGUGAGUAAUAUAUCGGAACGUGCCCAGUCGUGGGGGAUAACGCAGCGAAAGCUGUGCUAAUACCGCAUACGCUCUAAGGAUGAAAGCGGGGGAUCGCAAGACCUCGCGCGAUUGGAGCGGCCGAUAUCAGAUUAGCUAGUUGGUGGGGUAAAGGCCCACCAAGGCGACGAUCUGUAGCUGGUCUGAGAGGACGACCAGCCACAGUGGAACUGAGACACGGUCCAGACGCCUACGGGAGGCAGCAGUGGGGAAUUUUGGACAAUGGGAGCAAGCCUGAUCCAGCAAUGCCGCGUGCAGGAUGAAGUCCUUCGGGUUGUAAACUGCUUUUGUACGGAACGAAACGGCCCUUUCUAAUACAGGGGGCUAAUGACGGUACCGUAAGAAUAAGCACCGGCUAACUACGUGCCAGCCGCCGCGGUAA